GACGAACCGUGCGAACGUUGUUCGGAAUCACUGGGCUUAAAGGGCGCGUAGGCGGGCGGCCGCGUCCGGGGUGAAAUCCCACGGCUCAACCGUGGAACGGCCUCGGAUACGGGCGGCCUCGAGGGGGGUAGGGGCAUCUGGAACUGUGAGUGGAGCGGUGAAAUGCGUUGAUAUUCACAGGAACUCCGGUGGCGAAGGCGAGGUGCUGGACCCCAUCUGACGCUGAGGCGCGAAAGCCAGGGGAGCGAACAGG
rnacentral:rRNA from 1 species